AUUCCUUGACGCUCUGUUCAUGACUGACUCUGUUCUUGUUUUAUCUUUUUUACCUUUGUAGGGAGUUGUUCUACUCUCUCCCUCGAGGUGGGUUGAGUUGCGGUUUAGGUGGAGAUGUUGGUGCUGUUUGAGACGCCCACUAGGUUCGCCGUUUUCAAGGUUCUGAACAAGGGCAAGCUUGACAAGAUCAAGGAUCUAUGGAAGGAGUUCACCACAUCAGACUCGGCGAGAAAG